rnacentral:rRNA from 1 species
GACGAACGCUGGCGGCGCGCCUAACACAUGCAAGUCGAGCGAAGCGGCGAACGGGUGAGUAACGCGUGAGGAACCUGCCUCUUACAACGGGAUAGCCUCGGGAAACCGGGAUUAAUACCGUAUAGUAAGAGAUGGCCUCGCGUCUGAUUAGUUAGUUGGCGGGGUAACGGCCCACCAAGACGACGAUCAGUAACCGGCCUGAGAGGGUGAACGGUCACAUUGGAACUGAGACACGGUCCAAACUCCUACGGGAGGCAGCAGUGGGGAAUCUUGCACAAUGGGGGAAACCCUGAUGCAGCGACGCCGCGUGAGCGAUGAAGGUUUUCGAAUCGUAAAGCUCUGUCCUAUGGGAAGCGGUACCAUGGGAGGAAGCCCCGGCUAACUACGUGCCAGCAGCCGCGGUAAUAC